AGGGUAAUAGCUCAGUGGUAGAACACAUGCUUAGCAUGCAUGAGAUCCUUGGUUCAAUCCCCAGUAACUCCA
rnacentral:tRNA from 1 species